rnacentral:rRNA from 1 species
GACGAACGCUGGCGGCGUGCUUAACACAUGCAAGUCGAACGGAAAGGCCCUGCUUUUGUGGGGUGCUCGAGUGGCGAGCGGGUGAGUAACACGUGAGUAACCUGCCCUUGACUUUGGGAUAACUUCAGGAAACUGGGGCUAAUACCGGAUAGGAGCUCCUGCUGCAUGGUGGGGGUUGGAAAGUUUCGGCGGUUGGGGAUGGACUCGCGGCUUAUCCGCUUGUUGGUGGGGUAGUGGCUUACCAAGGCUUCGACGGGUAGCCGGCCUGAGAGGUGGACCGGCCACAUUGGGACUGAGAGACGGCGCAGACGCCUACGGGAGGCAGCGGGCGGGAGUAUGGCACAAUGGGCGGAAGCCAGAGGCAGCAACGCCGCGUGCGGGAUGACGUCCUUCGGGGUGUGAACCACUGUCGCCGUUGACGAAGCGUUAGUGACGGUAAUGGGUAAAGAAGCACCGGCUAACUACGUG